AAAAGCAGUUAUUCAGAAGCUAAAUCAACAGAAUAAAUGCCUCACAGUGCAGGUUUAUUCCCAGCCAAAGAGGUCCUUCAUCUCUUCAAGCUUAUUUUCUACACAUUCUUGCCUUCCUUUGAUGUCUGAACUUUAUACCUUACUGCUGUAAACACUUUCCACUGAAGAGGUUUCUAGGAUCUCCUCCACCUUAACAGAAUGUGCUGUCAAUUACUAACAGGAAAUGCUACAUUCCGGGGCUGGAAGGAAUGCAUUCACUCAUAAUGAAUAGCGCUCUGGGCUCCAAUGGGAAAGCUGUACAAGCCCUGAUUUAAUCCUGUGGAAACGUACAAACGUUGUCAGUCAAUAGCAUCGACUCAGAUUAUUGCUCACCAAGGUUCAGAAAGCCUGGCUGAUAGAACACUUCAAUAGAUCUCGGCAUAAUACAAACCUGUUUCUUGGCUCUGAUGCUCCGGUUCAUCACUGCUUGGCUUCACUUCUGUUCCAUUCUCACCUGCCAGAAAAACGACAGCCAUAGAGGGUUAUAAACCACAUUUCUGAUUGUUAAACAGACAAAGUCAGUAGGAACUGCAGCCAACGUAGCAGGUUGAUGGCACUACAUAUAACGAACCCAACAAGGAAAGCAUAGGAAUGCUUUAAACUGUUGGACGGUCCCUCAGGCACUGGCGUUAAGAUAUUAGAAUUUGCUAGCUAAGGAGCAAAACGUGCACAGAAGUAUUUUGUAUCAUUCGCAAUGACAGAGUAUCUUUUCCAGAAGGAUGGCUAUUGAAUUGCACUCAACCUCACCAUCACUUUCUGUUUUACUGGAAGUAUCCAGAACAGUCAGAUGACAGUCACCAUGGAAGACCUGAGGAUGGUGUCUAGUCUAACCCUAACAAAGAUUUGAUUUGAGCUUGGGGUCUUUCAGAAUACUAAUAGUCUUUAUGGCAUGGCUAGAUCUUCAAGGCAUCUAGUUGCUAAUGUUACCCUACUACAAGGAAAUAAAUUCUGAAGCUGCAAAGAAUUACAGUAGGAACAUGGAAUGUAAGAGCAUGAAUACAGGACAGUUCAACACAGUGGAAAAUGAAAUGAAACUUCUACAAAUUGACAGCAUCACUGAAUUGUAUGGAUUUGGAUCAGACACUUUCAGUCAGAAGAUCUUCAUUACUCAAGACAUGAAAAAUAGUGUUGCUGUUACAUAUAUAUAUAGAGAGAGAGAAGAUAUAGGAAGAACAGUACUUGUCUACAAUGUAAUCAAUGACUGAAUGAUACCAAUUAGACUUUGUGGACAACCCUUUAGUAUGAGAACCAUUCAUGUUUAUGCUGCCACUAAUGUGGAAGAAGGGAGCAAAAAGGUAAAUAAGAAUCUGAUUCAAGAAUGUUAUAAACAAAUUAAGAGGCCAAACUUGAAAAAAAUGGAAUGUUAGGACUUUUGAUAUAAGAUGUUGAAAAUAAUUAUAUAAAUAAUUAGCACUUUUAUGGAAAUCACUUUGUUUAGUCUAAGUUAAAACAGAAAUCUGUGAUUUUAUGAUUUCACAAAUUAAAACUAGAGGGGACUAAAGAUUCCAGGCAGAAAAGGGAACUAAAGAUUCCAGGUGCAAAAGGAAAAAGUUAAAGGCCUGUCUCUUUAAGAGGGAGAAAACAACUAAAAUGGAUACACAAGUGACAAGCCAAGAGAUUUACCUGGAUAAGGACUUUUUACUAGACUUACAGAAGAAGUUGGUUACAGACUUGAAGAAAUCUUUGAGAUAGGAAAAAGAAAAAAAAUUGAAAAGGGAUUAAA